rnacentral:rRNA from 1 species
GGGGCUAGCGUUGCUCGGAAUCACUGGGCGUAAAGCGCACGUAGGCGGAUUGCUAAGUCAGGGGUGAAAUCCUGGAGCUCAACUCCAGAACUGCCUUUGAUACUGGCAAUCUCGAGUCCGGGAGAGGUGAGUGGAACUGCGAGUGUAGAGGUGAAAUUCGUAGAUAUUCGCAAGAACACCAGUGGCGAAUGCGGCUCACUGGCCCGGUACUGACGCUGAGGUGCGAAAGCGUGGGGAGCAAACGGG